UUGACUGAAGGGAAUCAAAUGGCCGAUUGCCUAGUUGCUAAUGCAGUAUCUAAUGCUAGACACUUUCACAAUGCUAGACACUUUCACAUGUUAAUGCCUGUGGUCUCAAACGCAGAUACAGCAUUACUUGGAAAGAAGCUAAAGCUAUUAUCCAGCAAUGCCCAACUUGACAAAUGGUAUAUUCCUCAUCUUUUACAGGAGGAGUUAAUCCUAGAGGAUUGGAACCUAACUCUCUUUGGCAAAUGGAUGUCACACAUGUUCCCUCAUUUGGGAGACUAGCUUAUGUACAUGUAUGUGUGGACACCUUUUCUCACUUUGUCUGGGCUACAUGCCAAACAGGAGAGUCUUCUGCCUGUGUUAAACAUCAUCUUUUACAGUGUUUUGUGGUGAUCAGCAUUCCAGCUUCUAUUAAAACAGAUAAUGCCCCAGGCUAUAUUAGCCAAGCUCUAGCUACAUUUUUCUCUAUGUGGAAUAUUAAACACAUUACUGGUAUCCCAUACAAUUCUCAAGGACAAGCCAUAGUGGAAAGAAUGAAUCUUUCCCUAAAACAGCAGUUGCAAAAGCAGAAAGGGGGAGACAGAGAAUAUGGAACCCUGCAGAUGAAACUGAAUCUAGCAUUAUUAACUAAAUUUUUUGAGCCUGCCCAAAAGGCCAAAUGUUAUCAGCAGCUGAACAGCAUCUACAGAAACCAGCUGCAAAGACAGAAGCAGAACAACUGAUUUGGUGGAGAGAUCCAAUAACAAAAAGUUGGGAAAUAGGUAAAAUAAUAAUUUGGGGUAGAGGUUAUGCUUGUGUUUCUCCAGGCCAAAAUCAACAGCUGAUUUGGAUACCAUCAAGACACCUGAAACCUUAUCAUGAGCCAGAUUCUGGGAGGAUCCCAAGGACCCCUCAGUUGCAGCCAUGGUGAGACUGACACUGAGGAGGACCCCAGCUGUCACAAGCAACACCUGUUGAACACAGCCACCCACCUGGGGACAGAUCAAGAAGCUGUCACAGAUGGCAGAAGAAAACGUGAGGAAAGCGGGACAACCAGUCACAAUGGUCUGCAGAUGUGGAUCCUGACUCCUGAGAGAAGUAGCUCACCAUGACAAAUCUGCCUUUGCUUUUAUCAAUUUGCAAAUCAAAGAAGGGGGACAUGUUGGGAACAAGCCCCCCCCCCAAAUCUGGCCAUAAACUGGCCCCAAAACUGGCCAUAAACAAAAUCUCUGCAGCACUGUGACAUGUUCAAGAUGGCCAUAAAGCCCAUGCUGGAAGGUUAUGGGUUUACUGGAAUGACGGCAAGGAACACCUGGCCUGCCCAGGACAGAAAACCACUUAAAGGCAUUCUUAAGCCACAAACAAUAGCAUGAGCAAUCUGUGCCUUAAGGACAUGCUCUGCUGCAGUUGACUAGCCCAACCUAUUCCUUUAAUUUGGCCCAUCCCUUCAUUUCCCAUAAGGGAUACUUUUAAUUAAUCGAAUAUCUAUAGAAACAAUGCUAAUGACUGGCUUGCUGUUAAUAAAUACAUGGGUAAAUCUCUGUUCGGGGCUCUCAGCUCUGAAGGCUGUGAGAUCCCUGAUUUCCCACUGUAAACCUCAA